rnacentral:rRNA from 1 species
GCGAGGCAGAGCAAAACCCUAAAAAGUACGUCUCAGUUCGGAUUGCAGGCUGCAACUCGCCUGCAUGAAGUCGGAAUUGCUAGUAAUCGCAGAUCAGCAUGCUGCGGUGAAUACGUUCCCGGGCCUUGUACACACCGCCCGUCACACCAUGGGAGUCGGUAACACCCGAAGUCGGUAGUCUAACCGCAAGGGGGCGCGGCCGAAGGUGGGUUCGAUAAUUGGGGUGAAGUCGUAACAAGGUAGC